AUGGGGGGACAGGGUGGUUGGCUUCUUCUCUUUUGCCUGCUCACUUCUCCUUCUGCCCCCUCCAGCUAACUGGUUACUGGCACCAAUGGAUUUGGAGCUGAAUAUCCUACUUGAAUGGGACAGUCUUAAAAUGCCUUUCUUCUAGAACCAUCACAUACUUCCACCUGACUCUCUCAUUGGUUCGUCACAUGGUUCUUCUAAAAAUCCUUCGACAAGAUUGAUUAUAUGAGUUGCGCAUGCAUUUCCUCUCCAUUCAGACUGCUUGUUGGUUUGUUUUGUUUGUUUCAGUAUACAUUACAACAGUUCCUGUUAGUGGCCUGUCAUCUUUUGGUAAAAUUCUCCUGUUCAGAAUGUACCCAUAGAGGAGUUUCCAUUGUAGCUCAGCGGUAAUGAACUUGACUCGUAUCCAUGAGGAUGUAGGUUGGAUCCCUGGCCUCACUUAGUGGUUUAAGGAUCUGGCAUUGCCGUGAGCUUUGGUGUAGGUUGCAGACACAGCUCGGAGAUGGCAUUCCUGUGGCUGUGGUGUAGGCUGGCAGCUAUAGUUCCAAUUCAACCCCUAGCCCAGGAACUUCCACAUGCUGUGAAUGUGGCCCUAAAAAAAGACAGAAUGAGUUACUUGUCUGUGCAUCAGUAAAUGUGUUCUAUUAUGUCCAUCAAGCCCAUUGCCACCUUCUGGCUUUUAGACCUUUCAGGCAUGUGUCACAGCCUCUUAAAUGUCCCACAGACUUCAGGGACACAUAAAGUACUCUGAGCAGUUCAUUUCCCACUAUUAUCCUUGGGAGGGCAGGAUUUAUAUGGGAGGAGAGCAACUGUAUGCAAAAAUAUCUCUCCAUAGAUAUUUUUUUGCAUGAUCAAACUUCUUAACCAUUGUUAGGUGUAACAGUUGUCUAAAUCAUUCUCAGUCAUCUCCUUUAAAAUUCUUAUUGUGUUCUGGCAUGGCCCUUUAGCAUUUUAAAUCUAUUACAUAUGUUGAUAUUUCAGAUGAAACAUUAAACAUAAUGUCCAGUUACAAGGAAUCAAAAGAUUCUUGGAUUCUAAACUAUCACUCAUCUUAGAGGGAGUUCCCGUUGUGACUCAGUGGUAACAAACCCUGCUAGUAUCCGUGAGGUUGUGGGUUCAGUCCCUGGCCUCGCUCAGUGGAUCCGGCAUUGCUGUGGCUGUGGCACAGCCAGGCAGCUGUAGCUCUGGUUUGAAUCCCUAGCCUGGAAAAGUCCAUAUGCCACAGGUGCAGCCCUUAAAAAUAUAAAUAAAUAAAAAUAAAUAUUCACUCAGAGUCACACACGCAUAUAUAUUUAUAUCUGUGAUUGUGUGUGUGUGCGUGCGUGUGUGAAGGCUCUACAGUUCACUUAAUUGAAUCUCACAGCACAGGUCCAUUGGGACUGGAAGACAUCCAUCUUACUUAGCAUUUCAGCUUCCGCUUGCAGAAUUCCCUGCUUCUAUGAGACUAAAAAUAUUUGAAUGUAUGAACUCUGUCUCAUUUUGUGGGCAAUCAAUAAGGAAUUUCCUGGCUAAGAAAUCCUCCCUCUUCUUGGUCAUUAGAACACUUAUUUUAGGAUCCUGAUCUCAUAGCUUCCUCUAGCUCCAACUUUAUUAUCUGAAACUUCAGUAUCCAGAGGGAUGACUCGGGCAAAUGACAAUUAUUUUUCUAACAAGUCAACCAUUGACACAAAUGGUUAUAAAGUUGGAAGUAGUAACCAUAAAAAAAUUGCAAGUCUCCAAAAUUGUAGAUGUCUGUGGUCUACUGCAUUUUUACAGGCUAGUUACUUGAGCAACCCAUUAUGUUUCUCAAACUUUCAUGACUUCUGACCAAUUUAAAAUAUCACUUAUUAUAUAUAGGCCCGCAGGUUGUUUAGAAUUUAGCAUUUAUCAUAAAAUUUAUACUUUGUGUGCAUUUUUCACCCGCCUUUCUUUUUACUUUUAAAGAAGUUAACCCAUGAACAAACACAAACAUAUUUUGUCGCAUAUUUUCUGUAGGUGUCACUCUUCAUUCUUAGUGUAGGUCAUGUGUAAUUUCCUCAACCUGAAGCUCUGUUCACAUUUUUCAGACCAGGUCUACUGGCAAAAGAUCUCAGUUUUUCUUAAUUAGGAAGCUUCUUUGUCUUUCGUUUUUGAUGAACAUUUGUAUUAAACAUAGAAAUUGUGAUGACAGCCAGUUUUUCCUUUUAGCAGUUUAAGGAUGUCACUUCAGUGUUUUCCCGGAUCUGCUGUUUCUGAUGAUCGUCAGAUGUCAUUUGUGUAGUUGAUCUCCUGUACAUAAUGUUUUUUUCUCCAGUUUCCUGUAAUACUUCCUUUUUAUCACUCAUUUUUAGUAAUUUUACAAUGAUGAAUCUCUAUUUCAUUUUUCUUUUCUGUAUAAUGCUUAGGACUUGUUGCAUUUCUUAGAUAAAUAUGCUGGCAUUUUAACCACAUUUGUAGUAAUUUUGUAUCAUUUCUAAAGGGUUUUUUUUGCCCUAAUGUUUCUCCCUUCUCGUAUUUGGAACUCCAAUUAUGUGUGCACUAGAUGGAGGGCAAGUCCAAUAAUGCUUACUGUAUUAGGACCAAAAGUGUAAGCUUCGUAAAUCAGCUAUACCUUGAU
rnacentral:lncRNA from 1 species